GCUGACUGGGAGCCGCUGCGUGGCUGUGCUUGCGCCGCGCGGGGCGCAGUCAUCCGCAGUGCGUGGCCGCUGACCGCGGCGCGGAUUGGGCCUGGGCCUGGCCGAGCGAGGGCCGCCGCGGGGGCUCGCCAAGCAUGGUGCCGGUGAGCGCGAUGGAGUUGGGGAAGAUUUCAGAUUGACGAUGAGGAAGUGCUAGAGCAUGGCUGUAUCGCCGGAUUGUCGAAGGCCAGAGCAGCGGUUGUCAGCCUCGCCAUCGUCAUGAACGAGGCAGAGGAGGCGGGGCGACGAGUUCCGGCGACAGUGCAACUUCGAUCCCCUUCUGGAUUCCCUCUCGAGAGCGCAGAACUGAGAGUAGUGCGUUCUCCUCUACAUGUUCUCGUAGAGCGGUGCUGAUAACGUGUUAAAGCGUGAAUGUAAAUGAACAAGAUUUGGGAACAACCGAUGUUUUCAUUGAUCUCUUUGGAAUAUAUACAAGUGAACGGUUGCGUCGUA